GCAGUCGGCCUCCCAGGCCAUGCUGCAGAGCGGCUGGUCCAUGCUGUUGCCCACCGCUGAGAAGCAGGCCCGGGCACUCUGCUCUCCUGCAUAAGUCCAGGUCAUCGAUUGGUGAUUGAUCUUCUGGUGGGCAGCUUGAUGGCUGAUGGAGGGUUGGAGUCAGCCUUACACGCAGCCAUUACUGCAGAGAUCCAGGAUACAAAAAAAGAAGCACGGAAGGAAAAAGAAAUUUAUGAACAGGAAGCAAAUGCCUCAACAUUUCAUAGAAGGAGGACUCCAUUGGAUAAAGACCUUAUUAAUACGGGGAUCUGUGAGUCUUCUGGCAAACAGUGUUUGCCUCUGGUUCAGCUCAUACAACAGCUUCUUA
rnacentral:lncRNA from 1 species